UUAGGCUAUGGUGACAUGUAUCCAGAGACCUGGUCAGGCAUGGUUGUUGGCGCACUGUGUGCCUUGGCCGGUGUGCUGACGAUAGCUAUGCCUGUGCCCGUUAUCGUCAAUAAC
rfam:Larimichthys crocea isolate SSNF unplaced genomic scaffold scaffold211, whole genome shotgun sequence.